GAAGCCACAUUAGAAGUCAUCUGCCUGAGAAAUAACAGUCUCACUGGCUCAUAAAAAAAGAGUCCUCUGGGGCCGGCCCCGU